rnacentral:rRNA from 1 species
GGCCUACGGGGCGCAGCAGUGGGGGAUAUUGCACAAUGGGGGAAACCCUGAUGCAGCGACGCCGCGUGAGCGAUGAAGUAUUUCGGUAUGUAAAGCUCUAUCAGCAGGGAAGAAAAUGACGGUACCUGACUAAGAAGCCCCGGCUAACUACGUGCCAGCAGCCGCGGUAAUACGUAGGGGGCAAGCGUUAUCCGGAUUUACUGGGUGUAAAGGGAGCGUAGACGGCGGUGCAAGUCUGAAGUGAAAGGCAAGGGCUCAACCCUUGGACUGCUUUGGAAACUGUGCUACUGGAGUGUCGGAGAGGC